CUCUUUGGUGAUUUUAGCUGUAUGGUGUUUAUGUAUAUUCCAUAGAGCUUUAUUACCAAAAAC
rnacentral:pre_miRNA from 1 species